ACGAACGCUGGCGGCGUGGCUAAGACAUGCAAGUCGUACGAUACGUUGUAGCAAUAUGGCGUAUAGUGGCGGACGGGUGAGUAAUGAAUAGGUAACGUACCCCGGGCACAGGAAUAGCGUCGGGUCCCGCAAGGGAUCCUUUGCGAAAGUGACGGUAAUACCUGGUGACGUCCUUGAGUGGCAUCAUUCGAGGACCAUACGGUGGGGGACCUUCGGGCCUAUCGGCCUGGGCGCGGCCUAUUUCCAUCAGCUUGUUGGUGAGGUAACGGCUCACCAAGGCUUCGACGGGUAACCGGACUGAGAGGUUGGCCGGUCGACAUCGGGACUGAGGACACCUGCCCGGACAUCUACGGAUGGCUGCAGUAACGAA
rnacentral:rRNA from 1 species